rnacentral:rRNA from 1 species
ACUUGAACAGGCUGUUGCUGGCCCUCUCUUGUGAGGGGGACAUGUGCACGCUUGUCAUCUUUAUCUCUCCAACUGUGCACACAUUGUAGACCUGGAGUCGUCUUUGUUGAUUCAUUCGAGUUGGCACUGCAGCGCUUUUCAAAACAAAAAAAAGUCUGCUCUGCCUUUUGCAUUUCCAGGUCUAUGUCAUUUUCACAACCUCAAUGUGUUUAGAAUGUCGAAUCAGGUCCUUUUUUGUACCUAUAAAAGUUAAAUAUACAACUUUCAGCAACGGAUCUCUUGGCUCUCGCAUCGAUGAAGAACGCAGCGAAAUGCGAUAAGUAAUGUGAAUUGCAGAAUUCAGUGAAUCAUCGAAUCUUUGAACGCAUCUUGCGCUCCUUGGUAUUCCGAGGAGCAUGCCUGUUUGAGUGUCAUUUCAAGUUCUCAACUGCAUCAAUUUCUCGUUGAUGUGGCUUGGAUGUGGGGGAUUGAUUAUUGCAGGCUUCUGUCAAAGGAGGUCGGCUCCCCUGAAAAGUAUUAGUGGUAUCUGAGCRGAAGAAACUACUAUAGGUGUGAUAACUAUCUAUGCCUUCAGUAUGCUGCAUAAAAACAGAUUGCACUGCUUCUAACCUAGUGAAAACCUCUCUCUAAACUAACAAGGAUUCCCCUAGUAACUGCGAGUGAAGCGGGAAAAGCUCAAAUUUGAAAUCUGGCGGUUUUUUGACUGUCCGAGUUGUAAUCUAGAGAAGUGUUACCUGUGCUGAACCGUGUACAAGUCUUCUGGAAUGGAGCAUCAUAGAGGGUGAGAAUCCCGUCUUUGACAUGGACUACCAGUACAUUAUGGUGCGCUCUCGAAGAGUCGAGUUGUUUGGGAAUGCAGCUCAAAAUGGGUGGUAAAUGCCAUCUAAAGCUAAAUAUUGGCGAGAGACCGAUAGCGAACAAGUACCGUGAGGGAAAGAUGAAAAGAACUUUGGAAAGAGAGUUAAACAGUACGUGAAAUUGCUGAAAGGGAAACGCUUGAAGUCAGUCACGUUGGCUAGAAAUCAGCCCUGCUCUUGCUCGGUGUACUUUCUGGUUGAUGGGUCAGCAUCAAUUUCGACCAUUGGAUAAAGUCUCUGGGAAUGUGGCAUCUUCGGAUGUGUUAUAGCCCAGGGUCGCAUGCAGUGGUUGGGAUUGAGGAACUCAGCACGCCGCAAGGCCGGGUUUCGACCACGUUCGUGCUUAGGAUGCUGGCAUAAUGGCUUUAAUCGACCCGUCUUGAAACACGGACCAAGGAGUCUAACAUGCCUGCGAGUGUUUGGGUGGAAAAACCCAUGCGCGGAAUGAAAGUGAAAGUUGAGAUCCCCCUCGAAAGGGAGCAUUGACGCCCGGACCAGAGCUUUUGUGACGGAUCCGCGGUAGAGCAUGUAUGUUGGGACCCGAAAGAUGGUGAACUAUGCCUGAAUAGGGUGAAGCCAGAGGAAACUCUGGUGGAGGCUCGUAGCGAUUCUGACGUGCAAAUCGAUCGUCAAAUUUGGGUAUAGGGGCGAAAGAGUAAUCGAACCAUCUAGUAGCUGGUUCCUG